rnacentral:rRNA from 1 species
GUGUCAGCCGCCGCGGUAAUACGGAGGGUGCAAGCGUUGUUCGGAAUUAUUGGGCGUAAAGCGCGCGCAGGCGGCUUCCCAAGUCUGAUGUGAAAGCCCGGGGCUCAACCUCGGAACUGCAUUGGAAACUGGGAGACUUGAGUAUGUGAGGGGUUAGUGGAAUUCCUGGUGUAGGGGUGAAAUCCGUAGAGAUCAGGAGGAACACCAGUGGCGAAGGCGACUGACUGGAACAUAACUGACGCUGAGGCGCGAAAGCGUGGGUAGCAAACAGGAUUAGAUACCCUGGUAGUCCACGCUGUAAACGAUGUUCACUAGCUGCUGUGCUCUUAGUUGGUGCAGUGGCGAAGCUAACGCAUUAAGUGAACCGCCUGGGGAGUACGGUCGCAAGAUUAAA